ensembl:lncRNA
CACUCAGUGUUUCACUUUUAGAGUGUCUUAAUAUGAAAGCAGAAGCAGUGAUGUAGGUGCACUUCCUUUUGAGAAGUGUUCGCACAAGACCUACGCAAGACAUACGAGAGCUAAUACUUUGAGGUUUAUGAAGGACGCUGUUUGUCCUCCUUUCUUCAGUACGUCAUCUUCUGCACUAUCAGCAGCACUUACACUGCAAAUCGGACAUAUUGGUGAACAUGGAUGCAUUAAACCUGUGCUUAAUUCUGCUUCUACCACUAACUGCAUGCUCACAAGAUUUGGGAGGAGAUACUGUUGUGAAAACAAUUGGGAAGCAACCAGAUGUCACUCAAAUAUGCACCAAUGAAACACAGAAGAUCAUCACGCUAAUAGUUUGUACGAUCAGAACUCAGAGAAGUGGAGGAGAAAAUUGUAGUCUGCUGUAUGAAUAUACACGGGGCUUUGAACACAAAUGUGACUCCAGGUUCACACUGAUGAAAGAAAAUCAGACUGUGUUUCUCCACCUGAUCAAUUUAACAUCAGAGGACAGUGGGAGCUACACCUGUCAGUGUACAACUCCUGGAAGAACAAAAAUUCUCCAUCUUAAUGUCACUGUGGAAGAUAAACAAGAACUAAGCAGCAGGUCUGGAACAGAAACAGUUCCUCUUACACUGAUUUCUGUAACCGUGUUCAUCAUUGUGAGUUUAGUUAUCUUUGGAUUUAUUCACGCACGACUGCACCAGAGAAAACCAUCUCCUAGACCUCAAAACACGGGGUCAGAGGACAUUGAGCCGUACAGCACCUACAUACGGAGGGAAAGUGGUCUUUAUUCAACUGUUAAAAUGCACGACUCUAAACAGAAUACCAACAGUUCACAUGUGUCAGCAGACACAGUUGAGACAGUCUACGCAGGAGUACAAUAAUAUUAUAUCACAUUUUUCAACACUGACAAUUGUAGUUUGGCAAAUUCACCACAGGGUGGCAUCAUUUGCAAUAUGACUGACAAAUAAAGAACUGACCAGAAUCAGCGGAAAUAGUCAAAUAUUUCAUAUCUAAACACGAUUUCUUUUUAUCAUCUUAGCAUUUUAGUAUUGUGUUUUUAUGUAAAUAUUUUGUUACAAACUGCAGUAAAACUUUAUCCAUCAUUUGUUGUGUUUUUCUUUUUUUUAAUGCAGAAGAGAGAACUUUGUAAAUUCUGAGUUUUCAUAUGACUAAACUCAUAUAGUCAAGAAAAAUUCAACAAUUUCAGAUCCCUUUUGCUUUAUUCACUGUGACCGCUUUCAUGUAAGUUUGAGGAACUAGCAAGUCGGACGUCUUAAGAAUUCAUCUUGUUUUGAGAACUAAGAUGAUUAAAUGUAAUGACAGAUACAUAUCCUUCAGGAUAGUUAAUGUUCUGGUCUUUCUCAUUAGACUGAAUAAACCAGAU